rnacentral:rRNA from 1 species
CAUGUCUUCGUCAAUGUAUGGGCCAUUGGUAGAGACUCUAGCUCUUGGGAGGACAGUGAAGAAUUCAUACCUGAAAGAUUUAUAGAGGAAGGCAGUGAUGUGCAUGUCAACUUCAUAGGGAAUAAUUUUAAGCUCUUGCCGUUCGGGGCAGGACGCAGGAUAUGCCCUGGUAUAAACUUCGGAAUCACGACUGUUGAGCUUAUGUUGGCAAACUUGAUGUACCAUUUCGACUGGGAACUGCCAAUAGGGUUUAAGAGGAAAGACAUUGAUAUGACAGAGGUGUUUGGACUAACUGUGCGCCUGAAGGAGAAAUUACUGUUAGUUCCAAAAUCACGCAUGUAA